rnacentral:tmRNA from 1 species
AGCCUUUCAUCCUGAGACAAACAUCCCUAUAUUGGUCCUGUCUUCGGACUAUGGCGAUAAACGUACGUGUAAUAAGCGGUUCGGACCCGGGGGCGGUACCCGGCGACUCCACCACAAGCAGGCUCAGGCACUCCUUGCCUGUUUCUGACGGGGUCGAAAUAGGAUCGACGGACGUCUAAAGACGAUACUUUCGCCCGCAUGAGCCCCGUCAGAAGCUCAUAUCAACAUAGUUGCAAAUGACAACUUUGCUGAAGGUGAACUGCUCGCAGCGUAGCUGUGCGUAGUAUACCGAAUUAACUCCUAGGGAUUCAGCUCCCUAGGCGGGGCCCGGAGGCGCCUGGCAACAGAAGCCUCCACU